AUUGAACGCUGGCGGCAUGCUUUACACAUGCAAGUCGAACGGCAGCGCGGGCUUCGGCCUGGCGGCGAGUGGCGAACGGGUGAGUAAUGCAUCGGAACGUGCCCAGUAGUGGGGGAUAGCCCGGCGAAAGCCGGAUUAAUACCGCAUACGACCUGAGGGUGAAAGCGGGGGACCGAAAGGCCUCGCGCUAUUGGAGCGGCCGAUGUCGGAUUAGCUAGUUGGUGGGGUAAAGGCUUACCAAGGCGACGAUCCGUAGCUAGUCUGAGAGGACGACCAGCCACACUGGAACUGAGACACGGCCCAGACUCCUACGGGAGGCAGCAGUGGGGAAUUUUGGACAAUGGGGGCAACCCUGAUCCAGCCAUGCCGCGUGCGGGAAGAAGGCCUUCGGGUUGUAAACCGCUUUUGUUCGGGAAGAAAUCCUCUGGGCUAAUACCCCGGGGGGAUGACGGUACCGGAAGAAUAAGCACCGGCUAACUACGUG
rnacentral:rRNA from 1 species